UACAGAGGGUGCAAGCGUUAAUCGGAAUUACUGGGCGUAAAGCGUGCGCAGGCGGUUUUGUAAGCCAGAUGUGAAAGCCCCGGGCUUAACCUGGGAAUGGCAUUUGGGACUGCAAGGCUUGAGUGCGGCAGAGGAGACUGGAAUUCCUGGUGUAGCAGUGAAAUGCGUAGAUAUCAGGAGGAAUACCGAUGGCGGAAGGCAGGUCUCUGGGCUGACACUGACGCUCAUGCACGAAAGCGUGGGGAGCAAACAGG
rnacentral:rRNA from 1 species